rnacentral:rRNA from 1 species
GGCAAGAGUGUGCUUUUGUGGCCUCUUGACUGAGAUAAUGUAUUAGGUUCUACCAACUCGUUAUAGCAGUUCAACUGUCCCUUUGGCAUAUCAGCUCGGCCUGACAACUCCUUCUAAAGUUUGACCUCAAAUCAGGUAGGACUACCCGCUGAACUUAAGCAUAUCAAUAAGCGGAGGAAAAGAAACCAACAGGGAUUGCCUCAGUAACGGCGAGUGAAGCGGCAAAAGCUCAAAUUUGAAAUCUGGUACCUUUGGUGCCCGAGUUGUAAUUUGAAGAUAGUUUUCUGGUGCUGGCCCUUGUCUAUGUUCCUUGGAACAGGACGUCACAGAGGGUGAGAAUCCCGUCUGGCGGGGUGUCCAGUGCUUUGUAGAUUUCUAUCGACGAGUCGAGUUGUUUGGGAAUGCAGCUCUAAGUGGGUGGUAAAUUCCAUCUAAAGCUAAAUAUUGGCGAGAGACCGAUAGCGAACAAGUACAGUGAUGGAAAGAUGAAAAGAACUUUGAAAAGAGAGUGAAAAAGUACGUGAAAUUGUUGAAAGGGAAGGGUAUUAGAUCAGACUUGGUGUUUUGUGAUUAUCUUCCCUUCUUGGGUUGUGCACUCGCAUUUCACUGGGCCAGCAUCGGUUCGGGUGGUAAGAUAAUGACAUUGGAACGUGGCACUGCCUUCGGGUGGUGUGUUAUAGCCCUUGUUGAUGUUGCCUACCUGGACCGAGGACUGCGGCUUU